rnacentral:lncRNA from 1 species
GAAAAUAUUGUUUAAUCAUGCUAAAAGAAACAAAAAUAUAUCUUAAUCAUUUUUUAUUUCAUUUUCACCAAUGUUUAAGAGAAAAGUACGAAAAAUGGAAUAUAAACAUCCCACUGCCAUUUAAAUGGGCUUGGCACUUUUAUUGUUUUACUGCAGCUACUGGCUUCCUGAGAAAUUGCAGCCAAGCCUACUUUACUCCAUGGCAUAUGUUAUUGAUUGAGUUGCUACAAUAAACCAAUUAUAGUCCAAUUAGAGCAAAGUAAAGAAUAUUAUAGCUCUUUAUGUAUGAGAUGAGGCCAUUUUCAUAUUUAUUAGAAUUUUCCAAUAUAAAUCAGAAAAUUUAUAAAAAAUAGAAC